GUCUAUGUGAUUCCAUAAUAUGUGUUUUUCUACCAUGUCAUGCUGCCACCAGCCUCUUUGACCUGCUUACUGUAGGCUGUGGCAGAGAACUUCAUCCUUUCGGAGCCUCAGUUUUCCCAUCUCUAAAAUGAGGGUUAUUCUGUAUUUCCUCAUGUGGAUGUUAUGAGGAUAGUGAAAAGAAAUGUAAAAGCAACAUAGUGAGACCUUAAAAAUAUGUGAUAGAGCUGGGCAUGGUGACUCAUGCCUGUAGUUCCUAGCACUUUGGGUUACUGAGGUGGGUGGAUCACUGUCAGUAGUUCGAGACCAGCCUGGCCAGCAUGGCGAAAUCCUGUCUCUAGUAAAAAUACAAAAAAUUAGCCGAGUGUGGUGACGCAUGCCAGUAAUCCCAGCUACUUGGGAGGAUGAGGCAUGAGAAUUGCUUGAACUUGGGAGGUGGAGGUUGCAUUGAGCCUAGAUUGUGCCACUGCACUCCAGCCUGGGUAACAGGGAGACUCUGUCUCAGAAAAAAAAAAAAAGAAAAAAAAAAGGCUGGGCAUGGCGGUUCUCACCUGUAAUUCUAGCACUUUAGAAG
rnacentral:lncRNA from 10 species